rnacentral:piRNA from 1 species
UGUAGUGAGAAGUACAUGCCACAAGGUC